rnacentral:rRNA from 1 species
UACGUAGGGUGCAAGCGUUGUCCGGAAUUAUUGGGCGUAAAGAGCUCGUAGGCGGUUUGUCGCGUCGAAUGUGAAAACCCGGGGCUCAACUCCGGGCCUGCAUUCGAUACGGGCAGACUAGAGUUCGGUAGGGGAGACUGGAAUUCCUGGUGUAGCGGUGGAAUGCGCAGAUAUCAGGAGGAACACCAAUGGCGAAGGCAGAUCUCUGGGCCGUAACUGACGCUGAGGAGCGAAAGCAUGGGGAGCGAACAGG